CCUGUCCUGCCCGCUGUGUCCUGCUGGUGUCUGGCAGGAGAAGACACUGUGUGAAUGGAGGGAUGCAGGCGGCAACAGACAGGCUGGGACGCCUAGGAAUUCUGUGCCAGGAACCAAGCUGAGAAACUCCGCUGAGGAAACCACGGGAAUCUCAUUUGAAGAUUCAAAUGGAAAAGCUGCUUCUCCUCUCUGAGCCUCAAUUUUCCCGUUUGUAAAAUGGUAACUUGUACCCAAGUCCAUUCCAGCUCAAAAAUACUAUGAUUCCUUUCUUAACUAGGAGGAGUUAAGGGGAAGAAAACUAUUAUUUCAACUGUGAUCUCACCAAGGAACAAGUCUGAGGACUGAGUCGGGGGCCAGUGGCAUGGUGUGGAGCACUCAGCAUUCGGGGAUGACCACCCUCUGCCCAGCCCCUCCCCUGGUACCUGUUACUCUAGGGGAGUCCCCUUCUCCUUUCUUGGUUUCCUUGUCUAUAAAAGAGAAUGAUGCCAGCCACACCAGAGGACCACCGUAAGGAGAAAUGCAAUGUAUUAUAUAAAGUGCCUGGAGCGGGCCAGGCGUGGUGGCUCACGCCUGUAAUCCCAGCACUUUGGGAGGC
rnacentral:lncRNA from 10 species